GGAACCCAGUGUCCGAGAAAUGCCAUCCAGAACACCUCCUGGUGUUCUCGAGGCGUCUAUUUGUUCGUAACAUUCUGGGAAAGGCCCGAAAAGUGGAGUCGGCGCCUGCGGUCCCUGGAGGGGCCCGUGAACACCGGUCCCCUCCUGUCCCCCGGACAGCCACGCUGCCCCUGUCGGGCCUUCAGCUCGGGGCACCCUCGGCCUGGGAGGCCAGGCCUCCAGGGAAGGGGCAGGGGCCACAGACCUCCGUGACGAAGGUCCAGCAGGACUUCCAGCCCAUUCUCCUUUGGUCCAGAAGAGGCUUUCAUAAUUUCGGCUUUAUUCUGCUUGAAAUACUAGGAAACGUCCUUUAUCAGGGAAGUUCUGUCAGAAUGGAUUUGUUUUGGUUUUGUUCGUUUGCUUUGUGUUGUUAAGUCCUGAUUUCCUGGCUGCUGAACUUUACUUGGGCGGGGAAGAAGACAUGCCCAUAGCCCUCCCGCGAUGUCUGCUCACCUGCAGCUGCUGGGCUGGGGUCCAGGGAGAGGGCGCCGGGAGUAGUGGGGGCUAGGACCCCACCCCCACCCAGGGGGCCGAGUCCCUGAACUCUAAGGGUGGGGCCUCCAAGCUUCCUCACUGGGGUGGGGGGGGUGAUUGAGACCCCCUUGGAGGAGGAGCUUCAAGUUCUAAGUCAAGCCACUCUAGUGACUGCCCAAGACUGGGCAAGGCCCCUCCCCUGUGUAUUUCUCUUUUUCCCCUGGAAUGACAUGUCCCUUUAACUGUGUGAGGUAAUAAGUGUGUUGUCCUUAUGCCCAUGUAGACAGAUGAUGAAACUGAGACUCAAAGGAUAAUGUGCCCCCAAGAGGCAAAAUCACGUCCCAGAUUCAGGUAUCCUCCCUCCAAGUCAGCUCCUUCGUUCACGGCACCUCGCUGUAUCCCAGAGACUCUUGUCCCAUUCCUUUUGAAGCUGCUUUUGUGGUUAAUUCUUGUUUCCCUCCCUUGUUUUCUCUUUUCAGGCCCUCCCCUGGCCCUUUACCCUCCUGGUCUGGGUAUCCAAGGACAGAGCCUCCAGCCUAGCUUUGGGAGGCCAAACAUCUCCCUUAGUCUCUGCCCCAGAAGCCACUUCCAAGCCUUCCUGAGAGCAUGAUGCUCCCUUAAGAUCUGCUGCCCCCAGCUCUCCUCCAGUGUCCAUAUAUGAAAUGGCCAUAGGAGAGGCCCCUGUGCAUUGUGUUCUCCACUAUUCAAACCCAUUCACUGAAGUUGUCCACUGCCUAUCAUCUCGAAGCCAAGAAAGCACGUGUUUCUCCUGACCUGCCGGAGGGGUAGUUGGUACUGCGAGCUGAGCCCUAGGACAGAGGCUUCAGAGGAACUAAUCAGCUCUCCCUUCUCUGCCUCUGUGCCUGGGAACGGAUUUCCACCGAUGCACUCUGAUGAAUACCGCAAGAUGUGGUCUGUUUACAGUCGGUGUCCUCACUGGAGUCCAGUCCUCUAGGACAAGUACGCAUCUUUUCAUCUUAUAUCCCCAGUGCCCAACACUGAAAUUUCUUUGAAACGUGUGUUGCUGAAAUGGUUGUCGAAAAGCAAUAUAGAGUCGGGGUGACAUCAGAUAGCCUGGGAUCACAUUCCCAGCUCCACUGCUUGUCAGCCACACAGCCUUCAGAGAAGUCAUUUAAAUUUUCUAUGCCUCCAUUUGCUCAUCUGUAAAAUGGGACAAAAAGAGCACCUACCUUGUAAAGUUAUUGUGAGGGCUGAACGGGUUAAUAACAUAUCUCAUCUAAUCCACAAUGCACUGGGAUUUUAGAUCCAGCAAGGAAAGAAGAAAAGGCUGUGACAUGAUGCUUUAUAUCAAUGUCAGAGAUGUUUAAAAAUGUUUUAAAUGUCUACAUGAAACCCUUAGAGGGGCGCCUGGGUGGCUCAGUCACGUAAGCGUCUGCCUUCGGCUCAGGUCAUGAUCCCCGGGUCCUGGCAUCAAGCCCCGCAUCGGGCUCCCUGCUCAGUGGGGAGUCUGCUUCUCCCUCUUCCUCUCCUCCUUGCUUAUGUUCUCUCUCUCUCUCAAAUAAAGAAAAUUAAAUUAAAAUAAAAACACUUAGAAGAGUAGCUACUGCCAUUGUUGAAAUGCAUUCUCCCAAAAGCCCCAUGAUGAGUGAGUUAAUCCUCACUUUACAGAUGAGGAAACAGAGAUUCAGAGAACUGAAAGAGCUUGACCAAGCUCACAGGGCCAGUGAACCCUCGGCAGGCAUUUAAAACCUGCCUUUGAGGUGCAGUAAUCCACGGUUAUUACAAUAGCUGGCAGUCGCCCACCACGCUACCAGGGAGUUGGGAGCUGGGUUUUGUUCUCAAUUGCAUUAGCUUUCCUUAAUCUAAAUUUCUUACCCCUCUGGUAUAGUAACUCUGCUUCUUCCUCCCCCUCCUCCUUCGUACUUGGCUCUGAUCUUGUUACUUUUCUGUUAAGGGCUUCAGGUUCUACUGUAUCUGCGAUUUAAAUUGUAAGCGACCUCCUAUCUUUUAUGGAGGUAGGAGGGGUAUAAAUAAAUAUAAAGGUCAAAAUUAGCUUUUGAAGAUGACAUGUAGCAAGAAACAGUGAGAGAGAAUAUGGCCACCAUCGCACGUGGGUAUGUAUAUGUGGACACCUGGGGGACUGCCCAAAAUGCUCCCUCCAAUGAUUCCCCAGAGAGACUCUGAUGCUCGGUGUCCUGAUGCAGUGCAGAGCUCAGCGGGCCCCUUGAUGUGGCGGAUCUGUCACACCAGACUCUGUUUUUUCCCAUAACCCAAUGAGACACUACCGAGUGGAAAGGCAGAGGAGCUUGGGAAGCUACGGGGGCUGGAGGCAGUGAACUUUUCUAGUACCUUCUCUGGCUCUCCUUGGUACCCCCCCCCCAAAAAAAGAAGCAUCUACUUGAAAGAGUAUAACUUUCUAGCUCACUACUGCAAUGAGUCUGAGGCAAAGGAGAGCAUCCAAUGAGCUCCUAACCAAAGCAAUGUAAAAGGUGUAUCGCUGCUUUCAAUAUCAGAAAGGGAACCACCAAGAUAUAUUUUGUUUGGAGUUUUGCAGUCUCCCCACAGCCCUCGUGGCAGCCCAGGAUCCACAGCUGUCAAGGUCACAGAAAGAUGCCACUUGCCACUUCUGCCCUCCAUUUCCCUACACGAGGAACCCCAGGAUUCUACCUCUUCUGCCCAGCUCAUAAUACGUUAAAAGGCUCUGAGACCUGUUGGAGCAGAGCAGAGCCGAAAGCUGGGUGAGCAAAGGAGUUUGAGAAGGACGAUUGCAUGGGGAGCUUCGCUGGCGGCGGCAGGGAGAACAUGCCAUCCCUCAGUACCCCUGAAUGGAGCCUACUAUUCUUCCUCCAAGACUGAAUAAAACGUAUUCUGUGCUCAGAUCCACGAGACAAAGAAGGAACAUAUCAACAAAGGCGGGGAAAGACGAAAAUGGUUGUUCAGCGAUUCAUUCACGCAAGCGUAGUUCAUCUCCAAGGCGUCCAAGGAAGCAACUGCGCACCAAAUCCCUUCCAACGCUGUCUGUAUCUGAGCCUCCUGUGAAAUAAUCCUCUUAAUGGAAUAUUUAAGAAAUCGGAUAUAAAUCACCAACCUUUCAUCUCACCUGAAGAUCCACACUCCAUAGGGCGGAUGGUGUAUACGUCUAUCUGCAUAUGGAUGGUUGCAGGUGCCUUUGUGAGUGGAUGUUGCUAUGUUUUUAGGCUCCUUAUGCUUUUCAAUAUCUAAAUCUAUUUUUUUUUCUGAAAUAGGGGUGUAAAAUUAUAAAUCUUAGAGAUCAGAGCCCAGAAAACAGCUGCACCUAGAGACAAUUAAAACACACAUCCCUAGGAAAAACCUUUUUUGUCAUUUGCAACCAACAAAAAUGCCUAUUAUUAUGAUGUGCUCAUAAAUAACUUGAGUUUGGCGUAUGCUUUUGUACCAAACAGAAGAUGAAUAAAUUAAAUUUGAUUUACAACCUUUUUUCAUUUUUAUUAGCACUGCUCUGAAGAGUUUAUGUAAGGGACUUGCCAGAGCAGUUAUGCCAAAUGUUUUAAGGCGUUGAUAUUGAUAUUAUAUAAAUUAAGGUGUUUUAAUUUGCAUUCUUUAAUUAACUAAAUACUGGCAGAAAAAUAAAACACAAGGGCAGCCCUGACUUAUUGCCUCUAUUAAACUGCUGACAUCUCUGAAAAGAUGCUUUAAGUAAUCCAAUUCAUGCAGAGCGGGGGAGGA